AACCCAUGGUGAGGGCACCUGCUCAACAGAUCAUUAUAACUCUCCCAUGCAUCGUAGAGUGUUUCUAAAUCCAUCUAUACAAAAGAGGAGAUAACAUUAUGUAAUU
rfam:Gossypium arboreum cultivar AKA8401 contig_102010_1, whole genome shotgun sequence.